rnacentral:rRNA from 1 species
GAUGAACGCUGGCGGCGUGCCUAAUACAUGCAAGUCGAGCGAACAGACGAGGAGCUUGCUCCUCUGACGUUAGCGGCGGACGGGUGAGUAACACGUGGAUAACCUACCUAUAAGACUGGGAUAACUUCGGGAAACCGGAGCUAAUACCGGAUAAUAUAUUGAACCGCAUGGUUCAAUAGUGAAAGUCGGUUUUGCUGUCACUUGUAGAUGGAUCCGAGCCGCAUUAGCUAGUUGGUAAGGUAGCGGCUUACCAAGGCAACGAUGCGUAGCCGACCUGAGAGGGUGACCGGGCACAUGGGGCCUGAGGGACGGCCCAGAGGGAUAUGGGCGGCAGCGGUGGAGAAUAUGGCGCAACGGGCGGGAGUGUGAUGCAGCAGCGUCGCGUGCGAGAUGCUGGUUUUUGGGUUGAAAACAGAUUUCGAAUGUGAUGAAGCGUUAGGGACGGUAAUGGGUAAAGAAGCACCGGCUAACUACGUG